rnacentral:rRNA from 1 species
CCUACGGGAGGCAGCAGUGAGGAAUCUUCUACAAUGGGGGAAACCCUGAUGGAGCAACGCCGCGUGCAGGAUGAAGGCCUUCGGGUUGUAAACUGCUUUUAUAAGUGAAGAAUAUGACGGUAACUUAUGAAUAAGCACCGGCUAACUACGUGCCAGCAGCCGCGGUAAUACGUAGGAGGCGAGCGUUAUCCGGAUUUACUGGGCG